GUGGGGAAUUUUGGACAAUGGGCGAAAGCCUGAUCCAGCCAUGCCGCGUGUGUGAAGAAGGUCUUCGGAUUGUAAAGCACUUUAAGUUGGGAGGAAGGGUAGUAACCUAAUACGUUGCUACUUUGACGUUACCGACAGAAUAAGCACCGGCUAACUUCGUGCCAGCAGCCGCGGUAAUACGAAGGGUGCAAGCGUUAAUCGGAAUUACUGGGCGUAAAGCGCGCGUAGGUGGUUCAGUAAGUUGGAAGUGAAAUCCCCGGGCUCAACCUGGGAACUGGUUUCAAAACUGCUGAGCUAGAGUACGGUAGAGGGUGGUGGAAUUUCCUGUGUAGCGGUGAAAUGCGUAGAUAUAGGAAGGAACACCAGUGGCGAAGGCGACCACCUGGACUGAUACUGACACUGAGGUGCGAAAGCGUGGGGAGCAAACAGGAUUAGAAACCCGGGUAGUCC
rnacentral:rRNA from 1 species